GACUCCAUGCAGCGCUGCUUGGAAUGCACCUGGCAAACCUGAAAGAACAUCAGCACCAGAUGUGAAUGACACAAAGGCAUCACAACUGGUUGUCUCAAUAUUUGUCUAGUACAAUAAAUGACAGCUUUGUGAGUUACAGGUAGUACUUUGCUUUGUGAGGAUACCUCAUGUGUUUGGAAACACAGUGGGGAUUAGCUCCUGAGGAGUCUUUGAUAGAGUCUCCUUCACUUGAUGAAUGUGCCCUGGAAUCAAUCAGAGAAGAAGAUAAACUCCUAGUCACUCAGUUACAAUAACAAUAGCCAUAUGUAAAA